ACAAAUCACUAGGGGUGCCCCCAAAAGGCUGAGAGAGUCCCUUUGAACCUGAUCAAGCUAAGGCUUGCGUAGGGAAUGUGAGCGCAGCAAUGA
rnacentral:ncRNA from 2 species